UCCCGGGGGAGUCGGGUAACCGACUGAGAGGAAGCUUUUGACAGCUUCGACCCUUAGAACCUGAUCCGGGUCAUGCCGGCGGAGGGAAGGUAAGGA
rnacentral:ncRNA from 1 species